GUGGGAGUAGUUCAAUGGUAGAGCACCAGAUUGUGGAUCUGGCUGUUGCGGGUUCGAGCCCCGUCUCUCACC
rnacentral:tRNA from 6 species